AUGGCUUCCUUGCACAGAGUUCAUGUGUGCUGACGACCGGCAUGUGCCGACGGUUAGCUCCGCUGCCGGUCGACGAGGACCUCUGUGCCGACGUCCCCGACAUUUGGCCGUCGACACAUCGCCUGGCCAUCGGCACACAUGAACUCUCCCGUGGUGAGGUGGGCAGCCCACGAGCAAGUGAAGCAUUAUUUGUCGCUAGAUCCUAAUAUGUAUGACUCUUUUAUCUAUUGCACAUUUUGGUGUGUAUAUGAUCAAGCAGUUUACUACAAGGUUGAUAUUUUGCUUCUGAAGUGCUUGAUCUUUUGCUUAUAUUAUUUUCUAAAAUUUCUGUAGCUGAUUUUAGUAACAUGAAUUCAGUCCAUUGCAACCUAAUUUCUGCAUCAUAGAUGAGAAAUGAUAUUGCAGUUUUGCUUGCGAUAUUAUGCUUUCAUCUAGUAUUUACUAAAAAAAACUAUCAUUUCUUAAGAAUAACAUGAAGCAUGUUAUCGUUAUAUGUUCCUUUUAUUAUGGCAGGACAAGUAGUAACUAACAUCCGAGCAACAUGUGAUGUGUCCCUGUUACAUUAUUUUCAUAUGCUCAUAUUGGUGCACCUCGACUCUCCUUCUGUAUUUCCAUGUGUGGUACCGACUUGACAUCUAGGUGCCAUGGGCUGUUCUAAAUGCACGGGAUAGCACAAAUUAUCUUGCAUGACUUGGCUUUGGCAUGCUACUGAGGUGUUUUCAAAGAAAUUCCAAGCAAUAUGUGGAUGCGAAUUUAAAGGCCCAAAAGAUCAGCAAGAACUGCAACAUUCAAAUGCUACAUUAGAAGGAACAGGACUAGAAGGAAUAUAUAUAGGAUUAGAUAGAAUAUAAUAGUAUGAUGCAAAAUUAUAAGAUGUGUACUGUAAAUAUAUUUUUCGUGUAUGGAUGAUGAUUUUAAUUAUAAAUAUCGAAAUGUUUCUUCA